CAAGAGCGUAUGUAAAAGUUGUUGCAGUUAAAAAGCUCGUAGUUGAACCUUGGGUUUGGUUGGCCGGUCCGCUUUUUUGCGAGUACUGGAUUCAACCGAGCCUUUCCUUCCGGCUAACCAGUCGUUUCGGCGGCUGGCGAACCAGGAUUUUUACUUUGAGAAAAUUAGAGUGUUCAAAGCAGGCAUUAGCUUGAAUAUAUUAGCAUGGAAUAAUAGAAUAGGACGUUAUGGUUCUAUUUUGUUGGUUUCUAGGACCAUCGUAAUGAUUAAUAGGGACGGUCGGGGGCAUCAGUAUUCAGUUGUCAGAGGUGAAAUUCUUGGAUUUACUGAAGACUAACUACUGCGAAAGCAUUUGCCAAGGACGUUUUCAUUAA
rnacentral:rRNA from 1 species